rnacentral:rRNA from 1 species
AUUGAACGCUGGCGGCAUGCCUUACACAUGCAAGUCGAACGGCAGCACGGGAGCAAUCCUGGUGGCGAGUGGCGAACGGGUGAGUAAUAUAUCGGAACGUGCCCAGUCGUGGGGGAUAACGUAGCGAAAGCUACGCUAAUACCGCAUACGAUCUACGGAUGAAAGCGGGGGAUCGCAAGACCUCGCGCGAUUGGAGCGGCCGAUAUCAGAUUAGGUAGUUGGUGAGGUAAAGGCUCACCAAGCCGACGAUCUGUAGCUGGUCUGAGAGGACGACCAGCCACACUGGGACUGAGACACGGCCCAGACUCCUACGGGAGGCAGCAGUGGGGAAUUUUUGGACAAUGGGCGCAAGCCUGAUCCAGCAAUGCCGCGUGCAGGAUGAAGGCCUGUGUA